rnacentral:rRNA from 1 species
UACGUAGGGUCCGAGCGUUGUCCGGAAUUAUUGGGCGUAAAGGGCUCGUAGGCGGUCUGUUGCGUCGGGAGUGAAAACUUACAGCUUAACUGUGAGCGUGCUUUCGAUACGGGCAGACUUGAGGCAUUCAGGGGAGAACGGAAUUCCUGGUGUAGCGGUGAAAUGCGCAGAUAUCAGGAGGAACACCGGUGGCGAAGACGGUUCUCUGGGAAUGUCCUGACGCUGAGGAGCGAAAGUGUGGGGAGCGAACAGG